rnacentral:rRNA from 1 species
AAGUCGAACGGAAAGAGAUGAAAGAGCUUGCUCUUUUAUUAAUUUCAGUGGCAAACGGGUGAGUAACACGUAAACAACCUGCCUUAAGGAUGGGGAUAACAGACGGAAACGACUGCUAAUACCGAAUACGUUCUAAGCAUCGCAUGGUGCAUAGAAGAAAGGGUGGCCUCUACAAGAAAGCUAUCGCCUUAAGAGGGGUUUGCGACUGAUUAGGUAGUUGGUGAGGUAACGGCUCACCAAGCCGACGAUCAGUAGCCGGUCUGAGAGGAUGAACGGCCACACUGGAACUGAGACACGGUCCAGACUCCUACGGGAGGCAGCAGUGGGGAAUCUUCCGCAAUGGACGAAAGUCUGACGGAGCAACGCCGCGUGAACGAAGAAGGUCUUCGGAUUGUAAAGUUCUGUGAUUCGGGACGAAAGGGUUUGUGGUGAAUAAUCAUAGACAUUGACGGUACCGAAAAAGCAAGCCACGGCUAACUACGUGCCAGCAGCCGCGGUAAUACGUAGGUGGCAAGCGUUGUCCGGAAUUAUUGGGCGUAAAGCGCGCGCAGGCGGCUUCUUAAGUCCAUCUUAAAAGCGUGGGGCUCAACCCCAUGAGGGGAUGGAAACUGG